AGUGAACGCUGGCGGCAGGCCUAACACAUGCAAGUCGAGCGGCAGCGGGUCCCCGCGAGGGGAUGCCGGCGAGCGGCGGACGGGUGAGGAACACAUCGGAAUCUGCCUGGUUGUGGGGGAUAACGUAGGGAAACUUACGCUAAUACCGCAUGAGACCCUGAGUCGACGGACUGGGGGUGAAAGUGAGGGACCUUCGGCCGUCACGCGACCAGAUGAGCCGAUGUCGGAUUAGCUAGUUGGCGGGGGUAACGGCCCGCCAAGGCGACGAUCCGUAGCUGGUCGUGAGGAGGA
rnacentral:rRNA from 1 species